CACAUAUAUGAUUAGUUGGCCACUUUUAAUUACUUUCCAAUGCAAUCUCCUUUAAAUAACAAAAAUCCAUAACCAAUGUCAUUUAGAGCAUCAGUUCUUCUUAUCAAACAAUGAUCUUGAUGAGUUGAUAUUUUUACAAUAUGUAUUCAUUUUAUGAAGUUUAUUUUAAUUAAUAAAAAUAAGAUUUGUUGCAUUAGAAAGUUAAAGUUG